CCAAUAGCGUAUAUUAAAGUUGUUGUGGUUAAAAAGCUCGUAGUUGAACCUUGGGCCUGGCUGGCCGGUCCGCCUCACCGCGUGUACUGGUCCGGCCGGGCCUUUCCCUCUGUGGAACCCCAUGCCCUUCACUGGGCGUGGCGGGGAAACAGGACUUUUACUUUGAAAAAAUUAGAGUGCUCCAGGCAGGCCUAUGCUCGAAUACAUUAGCAUGGAAUAAUAGAAUAGGACGUGCGGUUCUAUUUUGUUGGUUUCUAGGACCGCCGUAAUGAUUAAUAGGGACAGUCGGGGGCAUCAGUAUUCAAUUGUCAGAGGUGAAAUUCUUGGAUUUAUUGAAGACUAACUACUGCGAAAGCAUUUGCCAAGGAUGUUUUCAUUAAUCAGGAACGAAAGUUAGGGGAUCGAAGACGAUCAGAUACCGUCGUAGUCUUAACCAUAAACUAUGCCGACUAGGGAUCGGACGAUGUUACUUAUUGACUCGUUCGGCACCUUACGAGAAACCAAAGUGUUUGGGUC
rnacentral:misc_RNA from 1 species